CAUACCAUUUGAAAAAGUAGACAACCCAAUGUAUUACAAAUGGGUAUGACCAGUCUUUUUUAGUAGCCACUUAGUCACAAACACUGGCCAAAGUUUGAAUUUAUAUUUGUUUGUGUGUGAAAAUUUCAAAAAACGAAUAUGAACGCUAACUUUGGCUAGUGUUUGUGACUAAGUGGCUACUAGAAAAAACUGGACAUACUCUAUUUACAAUACCUUGGGUUGUCUACUUUUGCAAAUGGUAUG